AGAGUUUGAUUCUGGCUCAGAAUGAACGCUGGCGGCGUGCUUAACACAUGCAAGUCGAACGAGAAAUUUCCCGCUUGCGGGAGAGAGUAAAGUGGCGCACGGGUGAGUAACGCGUGGAUAAUCUACCCUCGAAUUCGGAACAACAUUGCGAAAGCGAUGCUAAUACCGGAUGAUAUCCUAUUUCCUUCGGGUUUUAAGAUCAAAGACGGCCUCUGCUUGCAAGCUGUCGUUUGGGGAUGAGUCCGCGUACCAUUAGCUUGUUGGUGAGGUAACGGCUCACCAAGGCAUCGAUGGUUAGCUGGUCUGAGAGGAUGAUCAGCCACACUGGAACUGACACACGGUCCAGACUCCUACGGGAGGCAGCAGUGAGGAAUUUUGCGCAAUGGGGGAAACCCUGACGCAGCAACGCCGCGUGAGUGAUGAAGGCCUUUGGGUCGUAAAGCUCUGUCAAGUGGGAAGAAAUGGUUUCGGGUUAAUACCCCGAGAUUUUGACGGUACCACUGAAGGAAGCACCGGCUAACUCCGUGCCAGCAGCCGCGGUAAUACGGGGGGUGCAAGCGUUAUUCGGAAUUAUUGGGCGUAAAGCGCGCGUAGGCGGUAUCGUAGGUCAGAUGUGAAAUCCCGGGGCUCAACCCCGGAAGUGCAUUUGAAACCCCGAUACUUGAGUAUGGGAGAGGGAAGUGGAAUUCCAGGUGUAGAGGUGAAAUUCGUAGAUAUCUGGAGGAACACCGGUGGCGAAGGCGACUUCCUGGACCAAUACUGACGCUGGGGUGCGAAGGCGUGGGGAGCGAACGGGAUUAGAUACCCCGGUAGUCCACGCAGUAAACGUUGUUCACUAGGUGUUGCGGGUAUUGACUCCCGCAGUGCCGCAGCUAACGCAUUAAGUGAACCGCCUGGGGAGUACGAUCGCAAGAUUAAAACUCAAAGAAAUUGACGGGGGCCCGCACAAGCGGUGGAGCAUGUGGUUUAAUUCGACGCAACGCGCAGAACCUUACCUGGAUUUGACAUCCUGAGAACCUCUUUGAAAAAAGAGGGUGCCCUUCGGGGAGCUCAGUGACAGGUGCUGCAUGGCUGUCGUCAGCUCUCGUGAGAUGUUGGGUUAAGUCCCGCAACGAGCGCAACCCCUUUCUUCAGUUGCCAUCAUUGAGUUGGGAACUCUGGAGAUACUGCCCCGGUUAACGGGGAGGAAGGUGGGGAUGACGUCAAGUCCUCAUGGCCCUUAUAUCCAGGGCUACACACGUGCUACAAUGGCAGGUACAAAGGGUCGCGAACCGGUGACGGUCAGCCAAUCCCAUAAAGCCUGCCUCAGUUCGGAUUGGAGUCUGCAACUCGACUCCAUGAAGUUGGAAUCGCUAGUAAUCGCGGAUCAGCAUGCCGCGGUGAAUACGUUCCCGGGCCUUGUACUCACCGCCCGUCACACCAUGAGAGUUGGUUGUACCAGAAGUCGCCGGGCUAACCCUUC
rnacentral:rRNA from 1 species